rnacentral:lncRNA from 1 species
UUCCUCGAUAAAUUUAAUCAGUUUGUCUCUUAAAUCCUUAACUUUUUUAUUCGGAACAAAUCGCCCUCCGCUUUCCAGCCCUUCAUCUUUUCCUUUUGUAACUGAUUUUUAAAAUAAUGUCCGUUAGGGUUUACCAGAUGGAGGAUUUUUCGACAGAACAGUUUCCCGUUGUAUAUAAGACCACGCAAUUUGUAUAAGAUCAUUGGCUUUUUCCCCUGCAUCUUGAGCGCGCUU